UGGGGAAUUUUGGACAAUGGGCGAAAGCCUGAUCCAGCAAUGCCGCGUGUGUGAAGAAGGCCUUCGGGUUGUAAAGCACUUUUGUCCGGAAAGAAAUCCUUGGCUCUAAUACAGUCGGGGGAUGACGGUACCGGAAGAAUAAGCACCGGCUAACUACGUGCCAGCAGCCGCGGUAAUACGUAGGGUGCAAGCGUUAAUCGGAAUUACUGGGCGUAAAGCGUGCGCAGGCGGUUUGCUAAGACCGAUGUGAAAUCCCCGGGCUCAACCUGGGAACUGCAUUGGUGACUGGCAGGCUAGAGUAUGGCAGAGGGGGGUAGAAUUCCACGUGUAGCAGUGAAAUGCGUAGAGAUGUGGAGGAAUACCGAUGGCGAAGGCAGCCCCCUGGGCCAAUACUGACGCUCAUGCACGAAAGCGUGGGGAGCAAACAGGAUUAGAUACCCUGGUAGUCCACGCCCUAAACGAUGUCAACUAGUUGUUGGGGAUUCAUUUCCUUAGUAACGUAGCUAACGCGUGGAGUUGACCGCCUGGGGAGUACGGUCGCAAGAUUAAAACUUAAAGGAAUUGACGGGGUCAUA
rnacentral:rRNA from 1 species